rnacentral:rRNA from 1 species
CCUACGGGAGGCAGCAGUGGGGAAUAUUGGGCAAUGGGCGCAAGCCUGACCCAGCAAUGCCGCGUGAAGGAAGAAGGCUUUCGGGUUGUAAACUUCUUUGACAGGGGAAGAGCAGAAGACGGUACCCUGAAAACAAGCCACGGCUAACUACGUGCCAGCAGCCUCGGUCAUACGUAGGUGGCACGCGUGGUCCGGAUUUACUUGGUUUAAAGGGCGUGUAGCCGGGAAGGCAAGUCAGAUGUGAAAUCUGGAGGCUCAACCUCCAAAUUGCAUUUGAAACUGUUUUUCUUGAGGACUAGAGAGGCAGACGGAAUGCGUGGGGGAGCGGGGAAAUGCGGAGAUAUAAGGAAGAACACCGGGGGCGAAGGCGGUAUGCUGGACAGCAACUGACGGGGAGGCGCGAAAGCGGGGGGAGCAAACAGGAUUAGAUACCCGAGGAGUC